UACGUAGGGCGCAAGCGUUGUCCGGAAUUAUUGGGCGUAAAGGGCGCGUAGGCGGUGUGUCAAGUCAGGCGUGAAAGCCCCGGGCUCAACCUGGGAACAGCGCUUGAGACUGGCACGCUCGAGUUCGGGAGAGGAUGGUGGAAUUCCCAGUGUAGAGGUGAAAUUCGUAGAUAUUCGCAAGAACACCAGUGGCGAAGGCGGCUCACUGGCCCGAUACUGACGCUGAGGCACGAAAGCGUGGGGAGCAAACAGG
rnacentral:rRNA from 1 species